rnacentral:rRNA from 1 species
UGGGGAAUCUUCCGCAAUGGACGAAAGUCUGACGGAGCAACGCCGCGUGAGUGAAGAAGGUUUUCGGAUCGUAAAGCUCUGUCUUCAAGGACGAAUGUAGAUAUUGUGAAUAAUGAUAUUCGAUGACGGUACUUGAGGAGGAAGCCUCGGCUAACUACGUGCCAGCAGCCGCGCUAAUACGUAGGUGUCAAGCGUUGUCCGGAAUUAUUGGGCGUAAAGGGAGCGCAGGUGGGAAUAUCAGUCUGUCUUAUAACGACGGGGCUCAACCCCGCGUAGGGAUGGAAACUAUAUUUCUUGAGUGCAGGAGAGGAAAGUGGAAUUCCUAGUGUACUAGUGAAAUGCGUAGAUAUUAGGAGGAACACCAGUGGUGAAGGCGACUUUCUGGACUGUAACCGACACUGAGGCUCGAAAGCCAGGGUAGUGAUGGGGAUUAGAUACCCCGGUAGCCCUGGCCGUAAACGAUGGGUACUAGGUGUAGGAGGUAUCGUCCCGUUCUGUGCCAGAGUUAACGCAAUAAGUAGCCCGCCUGGGGAGUACGGCCGCAAGG